rnacentral:rRNA from 1 species
AGUGAACGCUGGCGGUAGGCCUAACACAUGCAAGUCGAACGGCAGCACAGUAAGAGCUUGCUCUUACGGGUGGCGAGUGGCGGACGGGUGAGGAAUACAUCGGAAUCUACUUUUUCGUGGGGGAUAACGUAGGGAAACUUACGCUAAUACCGCAUACGACCUACGGGUGAAAGCAGGGGAUCUUCGGACCUUGCGCGAUUGAAUGAGCCGAUGUCGGAUUAGCUAGUUGGCGGGGUAAAGGCCCACCAAGGCGACGAUCCGUAGCUGGUCUGAGAGGAUGAUCAGCCACACUGGAACUGAGACACGGUCCAGACCCCUACGGGAGGCAGCAGUGGGGAAUAUUGGACAAUGGGCGCAAGCCUGAUCCAGCCAUACCGCGUGGGUGAAGAAGGCCUUCGGGUUGUAAAGCCCUUUUGUUGGGAAAGAAAAGCAGCAGGUUAAUACCCCACUGUUCUGACGGUACCCAAAGAAUAAGCACCGGCUAACUUCGUG